AUCCCUCCCAAAUUAUUCUGAGGCAUCCCUCCCAUACUAUCUUGUGGCAUUCGCCCCAUAUUUGAUGGGCCUCCUCCCAUAUUUGAAGGACCUCCGCCCAUAUAUUGAGGGCCUCCAGGUCCUCCCAUAUUUUGUGGGCCUCCCAUGCCAGGUGGCCCUCCUCCCAUAUUUUGUGGGCCUCCCAUGCCAGGUGGCCCUCCCAUAUUUUGUGGGCCUCCUCUCCCUGGCGGCCCUCCUCCCAUAUUCUGUGGACCUCCCAUCCCAGGCGGCCCUCCCAUAUUCUGUGGGCCUCCCAUGCCAGGUGGCCCUCCUCCCAUAUUCUGUGGGCCUCCCAUGCCAGGUGGCCCUCCUCCCAUAUUCUGUGGACCUCCCAUUCCAGGUCCCAUGUUCUGUGGGCCUCCCACUCCUGGUGGCCCUCCCAUGUUAUUAGGACCAGGACCUUGCCUGUUCUGCUGCAUAUUUUCUCUUUUUCGUUCAAAGUUUCUUGAUCUAUCAAAGUUGCGAGGUCGGUCAUUGCGCCUAUUUCUC
rnacentral:lncRNA from 1 species